CGGGCGGCCGUGACCCUGCUGGAGUGCGGGGGGGACCUCCAGCCCCCCGGGGGUUCCCUGCGCCUCCUCUGCCGAGGGUCCGGGUUCAGUUUUGGCAGUUUUGGGAUGGGCUGGGUGCGCCAGAGACCCGGGCAGGGGCUGGAAUACGUCGCUGGGAUCACCAACACUGGUGGUUGGACCGAGUACACGAAUUCGUUCAAGGGCCGGUUCAGGAUCUCCAGGGACAACGGGCGGAGCUCGGUGAUGCUGACCGUGAACAACCUCAAGGACGAGGAUUCCGCCACCUAUUUCUGUGCCAAAUCUGGUCGUACUAAUGGCGCACGGUCACAGCCGCCUGCAGCCCUGUGGGACAAAGGGGAGAUGGGGAUGAUGAGACCCAUUGGUUGUGCAGUCAAAGUGGGCGCUGCCAUUCCAGAAGAAGGGUGUGGGAUCCACCUGGGAUGA